rnacentral:rRNA from 1 species
GUCAAGUGACGAAGCGUACACGGUGGAUGCCUAGGCAACUGGAGGCGAUGAAAGACGUUGUAGCCUGCGAAAAGGCUCGGGAAGGUGGCAAACGACCUGUGAUCCGAGCAUCUCUGAAUGGGGAAACCCACCUGUCUUAAGGCAGGUAUCCCGCACUGAAUACAUAGGUGCGGGAGGCGAACGCGGGGAACUGAAACAUCUAAGUACCCGUAGGAAAAGACAUCAAACGAGAUUCCCCAAGUAGCGGCGAGCGAACGGGGAUUAGCCCUUAAGCACUGGGCCGGUUAGUGGAAUGACCUGGAAAGGUCAGCCGUAGUGGGUGAAAGCCCCGUACACGAAAACCCAACAGUGUGAAAUCGAGUAGGUCGGGACACGUGUUAUCCUGACUGAACAUGGGGGGACCAUCCUCCAAGGCUAAAUACUCCCAGUUGACCGAUAGUGAACCAGUACCGUGAGGGAAAGGCGAAAAGAACCCCUGUGAGGGGAGUGAAAUAGAUCCUGAAACCGUGUACGUACAAGCAGUGGGAGCCCCUUCGUGGGGUGACUGCGUACCUUUUGUAUAAUGGGUCAGCGACUUACAU